GAUCUCCAACGUGUACCGCAUGUGCGGAUGCAGAAGCUUGAACACCGGGUGCAUCACGCUCAGCUGCCGGUGAGCUGCGAUUAUGAAAGGCUCCAUGGUGGCGUGCGUCCUCAGCCUGCACCAGGAGCAGUGGUUGACCAGUUGGUGAACACCGGCGUCGUUGGAGCAGACGUGGGCCUUCCCAAGCAUCCACAGCCAAUUGGAAGUAGCGUCACGAGGCGGCGUCAGCACCACGCUGGGACGGGAUGCGCCUGGUUGCUGGGGAGGGAGUCCAAGCUCAAUCGCUAUCGGCUUAAGCGUUCCGAUCGGAGUCAAAAAGAAGUGGGUCCUCGUCGCGUACGCUUUUCGGCCAUCCAUUACGUUGAUUCUGUCGACGAAUGGCAGGCAUAUGUCGUAGAAGUCCAACAUGAACAGCUUCGCCUCCUCCACCGCCUUUUUGCGUCAACAACGAGACAGGGUCGACUGUGAGCAAAAUGCUGUGAAGGAUAAACAGCUGGGCCAUAAACUGCAGGGUCAAGUUUGCUUUCUGGAGGGAACGCCUGCGCCAUAAGAUCCUUGUUAUUGUUUGCAACUCAGUUCAAUAUACAAGUGAUGAAGAAACCCUACUUAUGUGAGACUGAAGAGGGUGACGGGAUUACCUGAAGCCUUUCUAUGCUGACAGGGUUGAUCCCUGCAACUGCCUGCCGAGCAAAUUCAUCAUCUCGGAGCCAUGCAAAUUUGUCCUCUAAAGAGUAAACCACAAUUACUUUGACUGUCAAAAAGAGAUAAGUUGAGAAAAAGUAGCAUGCUAUUUCACUUACUUGUAAGGAUUCUUGGGGUGUCAUAUCGGAGCAGACCUUCACUUGAUUCUUGUAUCUUUUUAACGAAUGGGAGCUUCUUGAAGAGAUGUUCCUGGAGGCCAAGCUUCAGGAUGAGGCCCUCCUUGUAGAGGUUGUCAAUGUGGUGGAAUCCUUUGAAGUCAUGGUUAUCAGCAGAGAUGGAUGCAAUGAGUGAUGGAAUGAAGUUGUGCAGCACGGCUUUUAGCCUUCCAGCAGUGAAAGCUCCUUGUUUUAGCUCUUCAAAUGCCUCAUCACGUGGCACGUAGAUUGGAUGUGGCUUCUCAACUCGACUCUCAGCUAGCAUGUCUGGACCAUGAGAUGAUUCAUUGUCAUUGUUGAUAUACAUGCCAACGCCUAGGCUGUUUCAAAUGGCUGUCAAUAGCAAGCAAGAAAAUUGUUCCUGACCUUAUUGCUGAAGAAAAUUCUCUUGCUGGGAAGGUCCUUGUUGGAUUGAACCCAAGAGUUGCAGGGGAAAUUAACUGGUCCAAAUGCAAAGCCUUCCCCUUCAACAACUAUGCUCUCCAAGAAGAACUCUUUCUGGUGGCGGUUGAUCACUGUGAUUGCUCCGGGCUCACCGAAACCAGAGUCCACCUCGAAUUCCUAAGUUACAAAAGCAAGUCCAAGGACAAUAAGCAAAUUUCUGAAGGGAGACAUGAAACAAGAUUUGUCAGUUAAGAGGAAGCAGAAAGGAAAAAGGCUUCAGUAUUUAUGAGGCAGUAGAUCAAGCAGCUCUGUGGUUUAUGAUUGAGGAACAAACAUCUUAAGAUUUCGCAAGGCUUACUCGGAUUGAUCUCAGUGCUGAUGAGCUCCAACGCCACAUUCCAGCCAAUCCUAUCUGUAAGAGCAUCAAGC